GUUGUGCGGUGCCGGUGCCACCAGAUUAUCAAGGUAAACAAUUGCUUUUAUUAUCACUUUGUUGUUGUUGAAGCGGUACAGAUAUAGUUUUAAAAAAUAAUUCUGUAAUCUUUAUUCACUCGCCUCACCACCGCCACCUCAUAUCCUAUUCCUCACUUCCUCUCCUGUUUCAUGACAGGAUCGAGCUCCGGGGUUCCCAGACCCCCGCGUUAUCAAGUGCAACAGUCUUUCGGAUCUUGGUCUUGUACACGAAAAAGAAGGUAAUAUUGUUUGUUGGUUUGAAAUCGUUAUUAUUCAUUUGGAUCUGCACAGAUGACAGUAGACUUUGCCUUGAUAAUUGGCGGGUCCUCAAUUCCAGUUUUCUUAGACCAUGUCCCACAAAUUGUCCCUAAUCAUGUCCACAACUAGCAUCCAGGCUCUCUACCGUCCUUCUAAUGGCCCCAGUAAUUGGCUUAUACCUAACUGUUAUAUUUUUGCCUUGCCUUCAACACGCAUGUAUCUCGAAGGACACUUUCCCUAAAGCGCUGUGCUUCAAGAUUCCUGGUCUACAUGUUUAACAUGGGCUGCAUUACAGUGUUGUCUUCAUUCUAAUUCAAACAUCAUGCUCUGCAUAACAUGUUUAGGAUCUUGCUGUGAUAUUGGGGUUUGUCACCUAUUAAGUACACUUCCCUUGUUUCUCAGACCCAGAGGUGUCCCAUACCACGAAUGCUUUAACAAAGAAGUAAUACUCCUUCCAAAUCCAACUUGGGAAGUGAUUUGCCAGCCACCUUUAAAGCAAUACUUGCAUGAGAAUGGUCACAUAUUGAGUGCUUUUGAGUUCCAUAAGACUUGGGACUUUCAGAUGGUGAUCCAGCAAAUCAGAGAGGGCUUUGCCUCUAAAAUUCCUCAAAAUGUCAGCCUUCAGAUCCUCAUGGGUUGCGGAAAGAAAUUGAUCAGCCCAAAACUGCAACACGGUCAACAACUCAAUGGUCAGCUGAUUCAAAAGGUUUUUAAAUCAAAGGCUCUGUAUGUCAGACCAUCAGAAACACUUCUUGAACCUCCUGAAGUAAGCAGUGAAACAACAUAUGAAACAUCUCUACGGCUUACCAGAGCCACAACUAGACGUAGACAACAGAACACUAUCGAGACCAUCUUCUGCAAUGAUUCGGAGAGUGCAGAUGAAGUAAUGCUGGGAGAGACAAAUUCUACCUAUGGCCAAACUUAUACAGGCAAUCUGACUUCUGUUGAAAAUCCAAGUCAGUCAUCUGCCAUUGUGCAUCCUACACCUAUCAGUUCCAGUUCACCUGCUACAGAAUUUGUUUCCGAUGAACGCUGUCAAGACGAACCUACAGCACACGCAUCUGGCAACUACUCAACUUAUUUGUCUGUGAUGUGUCAUGUUUCUGAUCUGUCCUCUGAGGAUGAGGAAAUGAAUCAUGCCAUUCUGGCCAGUAUUGAAACUCACUUGUGAGUAUCUAUUUAAGAAAUUAUUUCUGUAUGCUUUGUCUUGCAGCUUGGUAAUGUAUAGUAUGAUAAGU